CACGUAGGGGGCAAGCGUUGUCCGGAAUUACUGGGCGUAAAGGGCUCGUAGGCGGCCAACUAAGUCGGACGUGAAAUCCCCAGGCUCAACCUGGGAACUGCGUCCGAUACUGGAUGGCUUGAAUCCGGGAGAGGGAUGCAGAAUUCCAGGUGUAGCGGUGAAAUGCGUAGAUAUCUGGAGGAAUACCGGUGGCGAAGGCGGCAUCCUGGACCGGCAUUGACGCUGAGGAGCGAAAGCCAGGGGAGCAAACGGG
rnacentral:rRNA from 1 species